GGCAUAUGUCCGGGGGAGGGUCUUGUCCAAGGAAUAGGUGAACCGAAACCCCCUUAGUCCCCUCCUCAUGGCUGAGAUAGCCAUGUCUUCGUUGAGGUCCAGGAUCUCAAGUGUGGCUGCGUUGAACCGGGCCACAAAGUGUCGUAGAGUCUCAUUUUCUCCCUGCUUGAAGGAGAAAAGACUGUCUAAGGUUCGCGACGGCUUCCGGCUGGUGCUGAAAUGGGCCACGAAAGAAUGUUCGAGCUGUCCGAAGGAGUGGAUACUUCCCGAGCGGAGGUCGGAGUACCA
rnacentral:lncRNA from 1 species